CCUACGGGUUGCACCAGUGGGGAAUAUUGCACAAUGGGCGCAAGCCUGAUGCAGCCAUGCCGCGUGUAUGAAGAAGGCCUUCGGGUUGUAAAGUACUUUCAGCGGGGAGGAAGGUGUUGUGGUUAAUAACCACAGCAAUUGACGUUACCCGCAGAAGAAGCACCGGCUAACUCCGUGCCAGCAGCCGCGGUAAUACGGAGGGUGCAAGCGUUAAUCGGAAUUACUGGGCGUAAAGCGCACGCAGGCGGUCUGUCAAGUCGGAUGUGAAAUCCCCGGGCUCAACCUGGGAACUGCAUUCGAAACUGGCAGGCUAGAGUCUUGUAGAGGGGGGUAGAAUUCCAGGUGUAGCGGUGAAAUGCGUAGAGAUCUGGAGGAAUACCGGUGCGAAGGCGGCCCCCUGGACGAAGACUGACGCUCAGGUGCGAAAGCGUGGG
rnacentral:rRNA from 1 species